rnacentral:rRNA from 1 species
CCUACGGGUGGCAGCAGUGAGGAAUAUUGCACAAUGGGCGAAAGCCUGAUGCAGCAACGCCGCGUGAAGGAAGACGGUUUUCGGAUUGUAAACUUCUAUCAAUAGGGAAGAAAGAAAUGACGGUUCCUACAUAAGAAGUCCCGGCUAACUACGUGCCAGCAGCCGCGGUAAUACGUCGGGGGCAAGCGUUAUCCGGAAUUACUGGGGGUAAAGGGAGAGUAGGCGGCAAGGGAAGUGAUAUGUGAAAGCCUUAAGCUUAACUAAAGGAUUGCAUAAAGCACUAUCUAGCUAGAGUACAGGAGAGGAAAGCGGAAUUCCUAGUGUAGCGGUGAAAUGCGUAGAUAUUAGGAAGAACACCAGUGGCGAAGGCGGCUUUCUGGACUGAAACUGACGCUGAGGCUCGAAAGCGUGGGGAGCGAACAGGAUUAGAUACCCUUGUAGUC